UUGGUUAAGUUAGAAAGGGCGCACGGUGGAUGCCUUGGCACUAGGAGCCGAAGAAGGACGGGACUAACACCGAUAUGCUUUGGGGAGCUGUACGUAAGCGUUGAUCCAGAGAUUUCCGAAUGGGGGAACCCACUAUCUUUAGUCGGAUAGUAUCCUUACGUGAAUACAUAGCGUGAGGAAGGCAGACCCAGGGAACUGAAACAUCUAAGUACCUGGAGGAAGAGAAAGAAAAAUCGAUUUCCUGAGUAGCGGCGAGCGAAACGGAAAGAGCCCAAACCAAGAAGCUUGCUUCUUGGGGUUGUAGGACACUCUAUACGGAGUUACAAAAGAAAGUUAUAAAUGAAGCGGUCUGGAAAGGCCCGCCAAAGACGGUAACAGCCCGGUAGUUGAAAUGGCUUUCCCUCCAGAGUGGAUCCUGAGUACGGCGGAACACGUGAAAUUCCGUCGGAAUCCGGGAGGACCAUCUCCCAAGGCUAAAUACUCCCUAGUGACCGAUAGUGAACCAGUACCGUGAGGGAAAGGUGAAAAGCACCCCGGAAGGGGAGUGAAACAGUUCCUGAAACCGUGUGCCUACAAGUAGUUAGAGCCCGUUAAUGGGUGAUAGCGUGCCUUUUGUAGAAUGAACCGGCGAGUUACGAUUUGUUGCAAGGUUAAGCGGAAAAAGCGGAGCCGUAGCGAAAGCGAGUCUGAAUAGGGCGCAUAAGUAACAGGUCGUAGACCCGAAACCAGGUGAUCUACCCAUGUCCAGGAUGAAGGUAAGGUAAUACUUACUGGAGGUCCGAACCCACGCACGUUGAAAAGUGCGGGGAUGAGGUGUGGGUAGCGGAGAAAUUCCAAUCGAACUUGGAGAUAGCUGGUUCUCUCCGAAAUAGCUUUAGGGCUAGCCUCGAGGUAAAGAGUCAUGGAGGUAGAGCACUGUUUGGACUAGGGGCCCUUCUCGGGUUACCGAAUUCAGAUAAACUCCGAAUGCCAUGUACUUAUACUCGGGAGUCAGACUGCGAGUGAUAAGAUCCGUAGUCGAAAGGGAAACAGCCCAGACCACCAGUUAAGGUCCCCAAAUAUAUGUUAAGUGGAAAAGGAUGUGGGGUUGCUUAGACAACCAGGAUGUUGGCUUAGAAGCAGCCACCAUUGAAAGAGUGCGUAAUAGCUCACUGGUCGAGUGACCCCGCGCCGAAAAUGUACCGGGGCUAAACAUAUUACCGAAACUGUGGAUGAACCUCUUUAGAGGUUCGUGGUAGGAGAGCGUUCUAAGGGCGGUGAAGUCAGACCGGAAGGACUGGUGGAGCGCUUAGAAGUGAGAAUGCCGGUAUGAGUAGCGAAAGAAGGGUGAGAAUCCCUUCCACCGAAUAUCUAAGGUUUCCUGAGGAAGGCUCGUCCGCUCAGGGUUAGUCGGGACCUAAGCCGAGGCCGAUAGGCGUAGGCGAUGGACAACAGGUAGAGAUUCCUGUACCAGUGCUAAUUGUUUAACCGAUGGGGUGACACAGAAGGAUAGGGAAUCGCACGAAUGGAAAUGUGCGUCCAAGCAGUGAGUGUGAGAAGUAGGCAAAUCCGCUUCUCGCGAAGCAUGAGCUGUGAUGGGGAAGGAAAUUAAGUACGGAAGUUCCUGAUUUCACGCUGUCAAGAAAAGCCUCUAGGAAGAGUAGUACUGCCCGUACCGCAAACCGACACAGGUAGAUGAGGAGAGAAUCCUAAGGUGAGCGAGAGAACUCUCGUUAAGGAACUCGGCAAAAUGACCCCGUAACUUCGGGAGAAGGGGUGCUCUAUUAGGGUGCAAGCCCGAGAGAGCCGCAGUGAAUAGGCCCAGGCGACUGUUUAGCAAAAACACAGGUCUCUGCAAAACCGUAAGGUGACGUAUAGGGGCUGACGCCUGCCCGGUGCUGGAAGGUUAAGAGGAGUGCUUAGCUUCGGCGAAGGUACGAAUUGAAGCCCCAGUAAACGGCGGCCGUAACUAUAACGGUCCUAAGGUAGCGAAAUUCCUUGUCGGGUAAGUUCCGACCCGCACGAAAGGCGCAACGAUCUGGGCACUGUCUCAACGAGAGACUCGGUGAAAUUAUAGUACCUGUGAAGAUGCAGGUUACCCGCGACAGGACGGAAAGACCCCGUGGAGCUUUACUGCAACCUGAUAUGGAAUGUUUGUACCGCUUGUACAGGAUAGGUAGGAGCCGAAGAGACGUGUGCGCUAGCAUACGAGGAGGCAAUGGUGGGAUACUACCCUGGCUGUAUGACCAUUCUAACCCGCCACGCUUAGCGCGUGGGGAGACAGUGUCAGGUGGGCAGUUUGACUGGGGCGGUCGCCUCCUAAAGAGUAACGGAGGCGCCCAAAGGUUCCCUCAGAAUGGAUGGAAAUCAUUCGCAGAGUGUAAA
rnacentral:rRNA from 1 species